CAGCCAGUUGAAUAAGUCCUUAAAUGUGAUAGGGAAGCAUCCAACGGGAAAGUGUGUUAUCUAUUUUAAGAGCAACGGGGCUGGCAGGUAGGAUUUAGUUUCUCCCUGUCUCUGGCCCACACUCCAGUACAGUAGGUGGCGGUAAUGCACCAUAACGUUGGAUGCCAACCGCCGAUACAAAUUGAAAGAAGAAAAAACAUGGCGGACAGCCACUAGCUCAAUCCACAAAUAUUUCAAAGCAAGUCUGGGUCCUCUUGUUUUGUCAAUACCCCAACAGGGGUGAGUUUUCUAAUUCUCCCAGAGCUGCUGUGUCAACAGUGAUCCCUGAGUGUGUUUGGGUGGGUGACUGAGGUCUGCUGACAGCUGGGGCCACCUCUUUGUUGUACCCUGUCAUCUGCCUCCAACGCCAACCCCCUGCCUGGCCGACAGAAGGGGAGAGCGUUAAGCGCGAAUCUGUGGGGAAGUCAACCUGAGCAUCCACAAAUGAAGUUAGUCAUUUCCAAAUGAAACACGGUCUAUAUGUUGGAGUUCAUGCUUUUUGAA
rnacentral:lncRNA from 8 species